rnacentral:ncRNA from 1 species
UGUUCCAGAAUAAUCGGCUAGACUUUAUAAGCUUGUACUCUAAUUGUUGUUAAUCUUGAAUUUUUGGAGUGUACUUUUGAUUUUAUGGUGAAAUUGAAGAUUUUUGUGUGUGUGUGUUUAAGAUUAUAAGAUUUAGUGAACGAACCAGAUUAGUACCUGGUUAGAUAAAAAUUAAAAGAGCAGGAGUAAAGUUGAGUUUAAACUGUAAUAAUAUUGGCAGGCUUUUAAAUUAUCUUUGGAGGCUGAGUAGUAAUUGAGAGCCCUCAUUUACAACUCUUAUUUUGGGCUCAUGUAUGAUCGUUUAUUUUAUUCUUAAGGAUUGUAAUUUUAGUUUUUAUCUGUUAAAAUAAAUAGAUACUUGGUUUAUAUAGGAGGUUAAUUUGGCCUACAAUGUUGUAUUUUUUGGAUAGUGCUGGCAGUUGGUACUUGAAAUUGUAAAAGACAGUAAAGUCCCUUUAAUGGGGGAUUGAAGUUUAUUUAAAAGCGGUACAAAUCAUCCAUCAAUUGCCUAUAGGGGAGUAAGUUGUAGUAA